rnacentral:lncRNA from 12 species
CCCAGAAUCCUCAACUUUGUUUUUUGAGGUGUUUCCCCCUUGUAUAUAUAUUCAGAGUUACCCGAUAUUCAAAUUAAAUGGUUAUGAAUAUGGCCUGAAACUAAUGUGCAAGGGGUGACCAUUGAGAAAUGCUGGCCUACUGGAUCAAGGCUCUGCAUAGUAUAUGGCGAUUCGCUGUUCCAUCCACUACUUAAAAUGACAGAUAAAAUUGGCAUGUCCGUGCUGCUGUCAUGACACAGACUCUUUCUUCUGAUUUCUUUCUGAUUCCUGCCAUCUCCACGGUUUCUGCCUUUUCGCCUCCUCCUAGUACAGAUGAGUAAGAUCUGGCCUCUGACCCGAGAGCUUGCAGGGUCCAGUAAAGGAGAUGAUGUGCGGAUCUGAUUCACUGCGGAGGGAAUCGCACACCAAUUUCGUACACAUACGAUGCAUUGCAAAGAAAGGAGAAUAUGAAUUUCACUUCAGGAUGCAGCUUCCUUGGUCCCUGUUUUUUGCACAUGAUCAGUUGAUCUCCUUUGAUGUAUCUUGGGUGAAGACAAGUUCCCAGGGUGAAAUGAAUCUUAAGGCUGUUCCCUGGUCUGAAGAAAAUCUCCGCGUGACUGCUUUCCAUCACCUUUGUGAGAGGCCUCCAUGGGCUUGUGUGGAGACAGCGGCAUUUUGAUGAUUAAUACAGACCAAGGUCAGUGUACACAGUGGUUGUCUGGCAUUGGCCCACUUCAUCAGAUAGUUCCUUUAUGGGGCUGAUUGGAAAAAUUGGUUGUUGAUUAACUCAGGGAAGCUUUUAACAAGGCUGAACUCAGGAAUGAAGAGAAGGAAGGCCUCUGCUAAAGAUGAUACCUAGCGUGGCUUCCUUUCAUUUUAUUUUUUAACUCAUUUGGCUCUUUAAAAACAUGUGACAAAACUCAUAUAACAUAAAAUCUAUGGGGAUCCCUCGGUGGCGCAACAGUUUGGCGCCUGCCUUUGGCCCAGGGCGCGAUCCUGGAGACCCGGGAUCGAAUCCCACAUCGGGCUCCCGGUGCAUGGAGCCUGCUUCUCCCUCUGCCUGUGUCUCUGCCUCUCUCUCUCUCUCUCUCUCUCUCUGUGACUAUCAUAAAAAAACAAAAAACAAACAAAAAAAAAAAACAACAACAACAUAAAAUCUACCAUUAGAGACCCUUAGCAAAUUCACAACGUGGUACAACUAUCACACUAAUUCUAAAACAUUCUCAACCCCCCAAAAGGAAACCGUGUAUUCUUUAGCAGCUGCUCCUCACUUCCCUGUCCCCUCCAUCCCUGUUAACCACUGAUCUGUGUUCUGUCCAGGAAUUUGCCUACUUGGGAUAUUUCAUAGAGGUGACAUCAGACAAUAGGUGGCCUUUUGUGGCUUCUUCCACUUAGCAUGAUGUUUUCAGGCCUCAUCUGUGUUGCUACAUGUAUUGGUGCCUCCUUUCUUUUCAUGGCUGAAUAAUAUUCAUUGGGUGGAUGACCACGUGAAAAAAAUCCAUUUAUUGGUUGAUGGCCUUUCUUGAAUAUUGCUGCAAACCUUGGAUCAAAGGCACCCCCCAGCGUGGGACUUUUUUUUUUUUUUUUUAGAUUUUAUUUAUUUAUUCACGAGAGACACAGAAAGAGGCAAGAGACACAGGCAGAGGGAGAAGCAGGCUCCCUGCAAGGAGCCUGAUGCAGGACUCGAUCCCCGGAUCCUGGCAUCACAACACGAGCCAAAGGCAAAUAUAAGCAUUGAGCCACCCACGUGCCCACGUGGGACUGUUUUAAACUGUAAAAACCAUGAACCUAUGUCAGUAAUUUUCUUAGGUUGAGAAUUUAGUAGGUCAAAUAAAUUGUUGAAAAAUCAUCA